CUCUUCAGGAGCCUUGUAUGUUAUUUUCAGAGGUAGUCUGGCUCUGGUAUCCAAAACAGCCAAAUGCUCCAUUUCUAAACGUUAAUCAAUUUUCAAUUGCAAUACGGUUCUAGAAAUAAAAUUAUUUCACAAACGCCAAAUACACACUUACUGUACACUGUUUUAACCUGCUUUAUCACAGUUACAGGUACACUGUUUUAACCUGCUUUAUCACAGUUACAGGUACACUGUUUUAACCUGCUUUAUCACAGUUACAGGUACACUGUUUUAACCUGCUUUAUCACAGUUACAGGUACACUGUUUUAACCUGCUUUAUCACAGUUACAGGUACACUGUUUUAACCUGCUUUAUCACAGUUACAGGUACACUGUUUUAACCUGCUUUAUCACAGUUACAGGUACACUGUUUUAACCUGCUUUAUCACAGUUACAGGUACACUGUUUUAACCUGCUUUAUCACAGUUACAGGUACACUGUUUUAACCUGCUUUAUCACAGUUACAGGUACACUGUUUUAACCUGCUUUAUCACAGUUACAGGUACACUGUUUUAACCUGCUUUAUCACAGUUACAGGUACACUGUUUUAACCUGCUUUAUCACAGUUACAGGUACACUGUUUUAACCUGCUUUAUCACAGUUACAGGUACACUGUUUUAACCUGCUUUAUCACAGUUACAGGUACACUGUUUUAACCUGCUUUAUCACAGUUACAGGUACACUGUUUUAACCUGCUUUAUCACAGUUACAGGUACACUGUUUUAACCUGCUUUAUCACAGUUACAGGUACACUGUUUUAACCUGCUUUAUCACAGUUACAGGUACACUGUUUUAACCUGCUUUAUCACAGUUGCAGCCGACAGUAUUUUUCAGUGGCAACAUGUUUCUGGCAGCCAUCUUCCGUUACACACAGGUGUUUGGAGCACCCUAGAUAGCUAAUUAGCAUAGGUGGUCACCUCUGUCUUGCGUAAACAAGCGCUGUAACAUGGAGAUAUGGCUGUGUGGGAACACUAACCCUAACAAGGUGUUUAUCAAUUGAACCUUUAACUGCUGAUAUGAAAGAUAAGGUCCUCAUGUUUCCAAAACCUUUUCUGCAAUUAGCGCAUGUUAAUGUUCAGAUUGAGCAUCGGGGCUCCUAACAAAACUACCCCACACGGAAGACGCCUUCGUCCUAUGACUCUUAUGUGUAAUGUAAUGGAACGGAGUCAUGAUCAAGAGCUAAUCGAACCCAUGCUGGUUGCACCACUGCAGAGGGAAAGUGCUAAGGGAUGUCAGGACUUGUCUGAUUUCAUCACUGCUGAAGCCUUCAAAGACUCUCUCUGCCCAGCAGCAGCAGUGCCCUCCCAUCCUGUUAGGUUAUUAUAUCCACUGCCAGAAAAGACUCCCUAAUCUUUCAGACC